rnacentral:rRNA from 1 species
GGUCCUACGGGACGCAGCAGUGGGGAAUUUUGGACAAUGGGCGCAAGCCUGAUCCAGCUAUUCCGCGUGUGGGAUGUAGGCCCUCGGGUUGUAAACCACUUUUGUAGAGAACGAAAAGACACCUUUGAAUAAAGGGUGUUGCUGACGGUACUCUAAGAAUAAGCACCGGCUAACUACGUGCCAGCAGCCGCGGUAAUACGUAGGUUGCGAGCGUUAAUCGGAAUUACUGGGCGUAAAGGGUGCGCAGGCGGUUGCGUAAGACAGACGUGAAAUCCCCGAGCUUUACUCGGGAAU